GAUGAACGCUGGCGGCGUGCCUAAUACAUGCAAGUCGAGCGAACAGAUGAGAAGCUUGCUUCUCUGAUGUUAGCGGCGGACGGGUGAGUAACACGUGGGUAACCUACCUAUAAGACUGGGAUAACUCCGGGAAACCGGGGCUAACACCGGAUAAUAUUUUGAACCGCAUGGUUCAAUAGUGAAAGACGGUUUCGGCUGUCACUUAUAGAUGGACCCGCGCCGUAUUAGCUAGUUGGUAAGGUAACGGCUUACCAAGGCGACGAUACGUAGCCGACCUGAGAGGGGGAUCAGCCACACUGGAACGGAGACACAGUCCAGACUCCUACGGGAGGCAGCAGUAGUGAAUCUUCCGCAAUGGGCGAAAGCCUGACGGAGCAACGCCGCGUGAGUGAUGAAGGUCUUCGGAUCGUAAAACUCUGUUGUUAGGGAAGAACAAAUUUGUUAGUAACUGAACAAGUCUUGACGGUACCUAACCAGAAAGCCACGGCUAACUACGUGCCAGCCGCCGCAAUAA
rnacentral:rRNA from 1 species